UACGUAGGUGGCAAGCGUUGUCCGGAUUUACUGGGCGUAAAGGGCGUGCAGGCGGUCUGUUAAGUGCAGGGUGAAAGCUCCCGGCUCAACUGGGAGAGGUCCUUGCAUCUGGCGGACUUGAGGGGGGUAGAGGAAAGUGGAAUUCCCGGUGUAGUGGUGAUAUGCGUAGAUAUCGGGAGGAACACCUGUGGCGAAGGCGGCUUUCUGGGCCCUACCUGACGCUGAGACGCGAAAGCGUGGG
rnacentral:rRNA from 1 species